rnacentral:tRNA from 1 species
GCGAGUGUGCUGGAACAGGCAGACAGGCACGUUUGAGGGGCGUGUGUAUUAUACGUAUGGGUUCAAGUCCCGUCACUCGCACCA